AAUAUUGCACAAUGGGGGAAACCCUGAUGCAGCGACGCCGCGUGAGCGAAGAAGGCCUUCGGGUCGUAGAGCUCUGUCCUAAGGGAAGAAGAGGACGGCACCUUAGGAGGACGCCCCGGCGAACUACGAGCCAGCAGCCGCGGCAAUACGUGGGGGGCGAGCGUUAUCCGGAAUUACUGGGCGUAAAGGGUGCGUAGGCGGUCUGUUAAGUCAGAGAUGAAAGGCGACGGCUUCACCGUAGUUAGCAUUUGACACUAAGAGGCUAGAGUGCAGGAGGGGAGAGGGGAAUUCCUAGUGGAGCGGUGAAAUGCGUAGAUAUUAGGGGGAACACCAGUGGCGAAGGCGACUCUCUGGACUGCAACUGACGCUGAGGCACGAAAGCGUGGGUAGCGAACA
rnacentral:rRNA from 1 species